rnacentral:rRNA from 1 species
GUAGUCUCGCACAGAUGCAUAUCAAUAAGCGGAGGAAAAGAAACUAACAAGGAUUCCCCUAGUAACGGCGAGUGAAGCGGGAAGAGCUCAAAUUUGAAAUCUUAAAGGGUUUCCCUUUACGAAUUGUAGUUUAAAGAAGUGUAUUUCUGUUGAGGUUUUGGUAAAAGUUCUUUGGAAUAGGACAUCAUAGAGGGUGAGAAUCCCGUAUUUGACCUUUACUUUCAACUUUGUGAUACACUUUCAAAGAGUCGGAUUGUUUGGGAAUGCAGUCCAAAAUGGGUGGUAAAUUUCAUCUAAAGCUAAAUAUUGGUGAGAGACCGAUAGCGAACAAGUACCGUGAGGGAAAGAUGAAAAGAACUUUGAAAAGAGAGUUAAACAGUACGUGAAAUUGUCAAAAGGGAAGCGUUUGACACCAGUGUUGUUUUUCUGAAAAUCAAUUAAAGAACUGUUUAUGCUAAGUUGUUUAGACUUUAUCAGCUAUCUGCUUAGUUUUGAGCUUUUCUUUAAUGCACUUUUCAGUUAACAAGUCAACAUCAAUUUCUUUUGCUGUAAAAAAGCUUGAGGAAGGUGGCUUGAGAUUCGUCUUAAGUGUUUAUAGCCUCUUGCCUAUGCAGUCGGAGAGAUUGAGGUCUGCAGCGUAGAUCCUUCGGGGCUAAAUGCAUUUGUGCUAAGUUAUAGCAUUUUAUAGACAACUUGUUGACUAUGAUUUGUCUUGUAGCUUACUCGCUUAUGUUAUUUUACCUACGCUUAGGAUGUUGACGCAUGAGAUAUACGC